rnacentral:piRNA from 1 species
UACUGAACUGCUGAAAUGUGCCAAGAGUCU